AGAUUGAACGCUGGCGGCAGGCCUAACACAUGCAAGUCGAGCGGUUGAAGGUAGCUUGCUACCUGAUGCAGCGGCGGACGGGUGAGUAACGCGUGGGAAUCUGCCCAGUAGUGGGGGGACAACAGCCGGAAACGGCUGCUAAUACCGCAUACGCCCUACGGGGGAAAGGGGGGAUCUUCGGACCUCUCGCUAUUGGAUGAGCCCGCGUCGGAUUAGCUAGUUGGUAGGGUAAAGGCCUACCAAGGCUACGAUCCGUAACUGGUCUGAGAGGAUGAUCAGUCACACUGGAACUGAGACACGGUCCAGACUCCGUACGGGAGGCAGCAGUGGGGAAUAUUGGACAAUGGGGGCAACCCUGAUCCAGCCAUGCCGCGUGUGUGAAGAAGGCCUUCGGGUUGUAAACCGUCUUUUGGUACGGGUAAGAAAAGCUACUAGGCCAAUACCUUGGAAGUCAUGACGGUACCCGAAGAAUAAGCACCGGACUAACUACGUGCCAGCAGCCGC
rnacentral:rRNA from 1 species